rnacentral:rRNA from 1 species
CGAACGGGUGAGUAAUGAAUCGCUAAUGUACCCCGGACUCUGGGAUAGCCGGUCGAAAGACCGGGUAAUACCAGAUAAAAUAACUGCUCCGCAUGGAGUGGUUCUCAAAGGUCCGCCGGUCUGGGAGCAGGCGAUUUCGUAUCAGCUAGUUGGUAGGGUAACGGCCUACCAAGGCAACGACGCGUAGCCGGACUGAGAGGUUGGCCGGCCACAUUGGGACUGAGACACUGCCCAG